CUGAGCUAUGCCAGGAAACCAAAAUGAAUUCCCUUUCCAUUUGCAAGUUCGAAGUGAAAGAAAGAAAUGCUAUAGCCCUGCUGUGACCAAGCCAGUGAAGGGAGAGCCAAUACUCGGAAUCAUUCCCUGCUCCAGACUGGCUCCCCGUGUGGGAGGCACAUAUGCUAUGCAACAAUGAGACAGGACCUGGCCAUGUGACUGGCUAUGCCCAAUGGAUUUUGAGCAGAAAUGAUGUCUUGACACCAAAACAGAAGUUCCAGGGUUGUUGCAUCGUUCUACCAUUGUUCUAGUCCUUCAUCAUCAAGAAAGACACAUCCCAGAUAGUCCUUGCUCAACACAAACCCCAACUGAAGAAGACAUGAAGAGUAAAUCUAUACUCAACCUUUAAUGUUAAGAGGAAGAAACCUUUGUUUCUGUGAGUCACUGAGAAUUGGGGAAUGCCCAUUACCCAUAGCAUAACCUAGGAAAAAACUGAGGGAACCUUCACAUUUUAUGUAGGAGAUGUUGUUCAUGGCUCUGGAACCCACAGUAUGAUGGAAAGAAUGGAAGCCUUCACAACAAACUUAUCUCACAGGAGACCCCAAAUCUACCACUUACUAACUUUGUGAAUGCUAACAAAUUAAUUGAUAUCUCUAGGCCUCCAUCUUGCCUUCUUGAGAAAAGGGGACCAAUCUUACAAAACCACUGUGAGAAUUAAAUGUGGCAAUAUUUGCAAAGCAUUGGGUACAGUUCCAGCCUCCCUCUCACCAAAAGUUUCCAAAACAUAUGUUCAUUUC
rnacentral:lncRNA from 1 species